AAUCGUUCGAACACUCCCCACAAACCGAGACCUCAAGGGAGAAUAAAUACGUCUCUCAUACCUGCACUGGAGGGUGGUGCAGGAAUACUAAAACUA
rnacentral:ncRNA from 1 species